CUACCUUCUCUACAGCCCAGAACCCCAGGUGAGACUACCUCCUCUACAGCCCAGAACCCCAGGUGAGACUCCCUCCUCUACAGCCCAGAACCCCAGGUGAGACUACCUCCUCUACAGCCCAGAACCCCAGGUGAGAAUACCUCCUCUACAGCCCAGAUACAAAUAAUCAACGUACGAGUUGUACCGCUCAGUCCAGAAGGAGUUAGAGCUGGCACCGCUCAGUACAGAAGGAGUUAGAACUGGCACCGCUCAGUCCAGAAGGAGUUAGAGCUGGCACCGCUCAGUACAGAAGGAGUUAGAGCUGGCACCGCUCAGUCCAGAAGGAGUUAGAGCUGGUACCGCUCAGUCCAGAAGAAGUUAGAGCUCGUACCGCUCAGUACGGAAGGAGUUAGAGCUGGCACCGCUCAGUCCAGACGGAGUUAGAGCUGGCACCGCUCAGUCCAGACGGAGUUAGAGCUGGUACCGCUCAGUCCAGAAGGAGUUAGAGCUGGUACCGCUCAGUCCAGAAGGAGUUAGAGCUGGUACCGCUCAGUCCAGAAGGAGUUAGAGCUGGUACCGCUCAGUCCAGAAGGAGUUAGAGCUGGUACCGCUCAGUCCAGAAGGAGUUAGAGCUGGUACCGCUCAGUCCAGAAGGAGUUAGAGCUGGUACCGCUCAGUCCAGAAGGAGUUAGAGCUGGUACCGCUCAGUCCAGAAGGAGUUAGAGCUGGUACCGCUCAGUCCAGAAGGAGUUAGAGCUGGUACCGCUCAGUCCAGAAGGAGUUAGAUUUCUAUUACAGCGUAUUGGAUAACUGUCAUUCAUAUUCACCCAGUUCAAUGUAACAGGUUUAGGUUACUGUCAUUCAUAUUCACCCAGUUCAAUGUAACAGUGACAGGUUUAGGUUACUGUCAUUCAUAUUCACCCAGUUCAAUGUAACAGUGACAGGUUUAGGUUACUGUCAUUCAUAUUCACCCAGUUCAAUGUGACAGUGACAGGUUUAGGUUACUGUCAUUCAUAUUCACCCAGUUCAAUGUAACAGUAACAGGUUUAGGUUACUGUCAUUCAUAUUCACCCAGUUCAAUGUAACAGUGACAGGUUUAGGUUACUGUCAUUCAUAUUCACCCAGUUCAAUAUAACAGUGAUAGGUUUAGGUUACUGUCAUUCAUAUUCACCCAGUUCAAUGUAACAGUGACAGGUUUAGGUUACUGUCAUUCAUAUUCACCCAGUUCAAUGUAACAUCAAUAGGGUUUAGGUUACUGUCAUUCAUAUUCACCCAGUUCAAUGUAACAGUGACAGGUUUAGGUUACUGUCAUUCAUAUUCACCCAGUUCAAUGUGACAGUGACAGGUUUAGGUUACUGUCAUUCAUAUUCACCCAGUUCAAUGUAACAGUGAUAGGUUUAGGUUACUGUCAUUCAUAUUCACCCAGGUCAAUGUAACAGUGACAGGUUUAGGUUACUGUCAUUCAUAUUCACCCAGUUCAAUGUAACAGUGAUAGGUUUAGGUUACUGUCAUUCAUAUUCACCCAGUUCAAUGUAACAGUGACAGGUUUAGGUUACUGUCAUUCAUAUUCACCCAGUUCAAUGUAACAGUAACAGGUUUAGGUUACUGUCAUUCAUAUUCACCCAGUUCAAUGUAACAGUGACAGGUUUAGGUUACUGUCAUUCAUAUUCACCCAGUUCAAUGUAACAGUGACAGGUUUAGGUUACUGUCAUUCAUAUUCACCCAGUUCAAUGUAACAGUGACAGGUUUAGGUUACUGUCAUUCAUAUUCACCCAGUUCAAUGUAACAGUGACAGGUUUAGGUUACUGUCGUUCAUAUUCACCCAGUUCAAUGUAACAUCCAUAGGUUGGAGAACGUCCUCCGGAAGUUGUCGUAAUUACUGUGUAAGUCUAUGGAAGGGGUGAGCACCAUGAGCCUCCUAGGUUUUGUUUUGAUGUCGAUGUGCCCAGAGGAGGACGGAAACUAGCUGUCCUCCGGCUACACUAUGGUGCUGCUGAGGCUACUGUGACCUUCAUUGCAAAACUGUGUGUUUUAAUCAAUGAU